GGAGACAACAGCCACCUGUGUGAGGAGCGAAGUGCAUAGUUUAAUUACAAACAGGCAGCGGCAGAUCCUGGGUGAUGGGGGUGAGCAAAUUUUCCAUCUUCUUUCAUGAUAGAGAACCAUGUAAUGUAACAGGAAGAAAACAACCCCUUUCACUUCUCUCUCUCUCAGGUGUGAUGAGGUCAGUGCUUCCAACUGCUCUUGUGAAAUCCUUCCUGCAUAACACAGUCUUCCACAACAUUUGUUUUUUGGAGAUGGCUGGCUGGACUACAGUUGCAAUCAUCCUAAACUAUCAUGGAUCGUGUGUUCAGCCAAAAUACCUUUGAAGAAACUUUCCAGGAUGACAACAAAUAUGUUUUCCAAAAAGCAUUCUCUUUCCCACAGUACCAUUUGUCAGCAGUAACACCACACAAGACUUCUGCCAUGGGGCCAAAGACAAUAUGUCUGGAACAUCUUCUGUAUGUCUUGGAAAUUACAAAAGAAAAGGAUAAAAGUAGAAUAAGAAAAG
rnacentral:lncRNA from 11 species